ACGCCCUUAUAGCUUAAUUGUCAACCGUUGAUUUUGGAAGCCACAGGUUGGUGGUUCGAUUCCACCCGGGCGUU